rnacentral:rRNA from 1 species
GUGGGGAAUAUUGGACAAUGGGGGGAACCCUGAUCCAGUCAUGCCGCGUGUGUGAAGAAGGCCUUUUGGUUGUAAAGCACUUUAAGCGAGGAGGAGGCUACCGAGAUUAAUACUCUUGGAUAGUGGACGUUACUCGCAGAAUAAGCACCGGCUAACUCUGUGCCAGCAGCCGCGGUAAUACAGAGGGUGCAAGCGUUAAUCGGAUUUACUGGGCGUAAAGCGCGCGUAGGUGGCCAAUUAAGUCAAAUGUGAAAUCCCCGAGCUUAACUUGGGAAUUGCAUUCGAUACUGGUUGGCUAGAGUAUGGGAGAGGAUGGUAGAAUUCCAGGUGUAGCGGUGAAAUGCGUAGAGAUCUGGAGGAAUACCGAUGGCGAAGGCAGCCAUCUGGCCUAAUACUGACACUGAGGUGCGAAAGCAUGGGGAGCAAACAGGAUUAGAAACCCGAGUAGUCC